rnacentral:rRNA from 1 species
AUUGAACGCUGGCGGCAGGCCUAACACAUGCAAGUCGGGCGGAGCGGCGGACGGGUGAGUAAUGUAUGGGGAUCUGCCUGCUGGAGGGGGAUAACGUCCGGAAACGGGCGCUAAUACCGCAUACUAUCAGAUGAGCCUAGGUCGGAUUAGCUAGUUGGUGGGGUAAAGGCCUACCAAGGCGACGAUCCGUAACUGGUCUGAGAGGGUGAUCAGUCAAACUGGAAAAGAGACACGGUCCAGAAUCCUAAGGGAGGCAGCAGUGGGGAAUAUUGGACAAUGGGCGAAAGCCUGAUCCAGCCAUGCCGCGUGUGUGAAGAAGGUCUUCAGAUUGUAAAGCACUUUAAGUUGGGAGGCGUUACCAACAGAAUAGGCAACGGCUAACUUCGUGCCAGCAGCCGCGGUAAUAC